rnacentral:hammerhead_ribozyme from 1 species
AUCGAGUUGACGCGUCCCAAAUAGGACGAAACUCGCGUCCUGGAU